CGACCGUUGAAAUACCACCCUUUGGUUAUUUGAGUCCUAACGCCUUUCUAUAAGGCAGACAGUGCAUGGCGGGCAGUUUGACUGGGGUGGUCACCUCCAAAAGUGUAACGGAGGUUUGCAAAGGUGCCCUCAGUACGGACGGUAACCGUACCGCAGAGUGUAUUAGCACAAGGGCGCUUGACUGAGAGACCGACGGGUCGACCAGGGCCGAAAGGCGGCUAAAGUGAUCCGGCGAUCCCGCAUGGAAGGGUCGUCGCUCAAAGGAUAAAAGGUACUCCGGGGAUAACAGGCUGAUCUCCCCCAAGAGCUCAUAUCGACGGGGAGGUUUGGCACCUCGAUGUCGGCUCGUCGCAUCCUGGGGCUGGAGAAGGUCCCAAGGGUUGGGCUGUUCGCCCAUUUAAAGCGGCACGUGAGCUGGUUCAGAACGUCGCAAGACAGUUCGGUCCCUAUCUGUUGUGGCGUUGGAUGAUUGAGGGGACCUGCCACCAGUACGAGAGGACCGGUGGUGGACGGACCGCUUGUCGUA
rnacentral:rRNA from 1 species